GUCAUUGUGCUGCGACCUUUGUUUAACGCCGUUGGCGAAGCCAGGCUGUCCUAGGAAGCCGAGUGGGAGUGGCACGGAGCUGCUGGAGGUCCUGAGAACCUGAGUUUCGGCAAGCAACCAGGUCUGGAAACUGAUUUGGAGUGGAUCAGUUACGAGAUGACAAUCUAGAAACUUAUUGGCAAUCAGAUGGUUCCCAGCCUCAUUUAGUGAACAUCCAAUUCAGCAACUUGAGUUGGUGGAACCAAGUGGCUGGAUUCAUGUUCCCUUAACUGACAAUCAUAAGAAGCCAACUCGUACAUUCAUGAUACAGAUUGCUGUUCUAGCCAAUCACCAAAAUGGAAGAGACACCCAUAUGAGACAAAUUAAAAUAUACACACCGGUAGAAGAGAGCUCCAUUGGUAAAUUUCCUAGAUGUACAACUAUAGAUUUCAUGAUGUAUCGUUCAAUAAGGUGACUUUAAAAUGAGAUGAAAAUCAUUAAAUAUAUCUUUGUUUUAUCCUGUGUUUAAAUAAUAUAUCAGGUACCUUUAUUGAACAAAGCAUCUGUUAUUUGUAAUUUUGUAUAUGUUUAAAAAUAUUUUAUUGUAACUUUGACAAAUAAAUUUGGGGUCAUAUUAUCUUUAUUUUCUUUAACAUGUAAUAAAGCUCACAUAUUUUACAUUACUAAAAAUGGACUUAAAGCCAAUCAUUUUAUUUUCCCUGUAUCAAAAGAAAAGAGUUGAACUGAAAAUUUCAGUAUAUACACAAUUAUAGUAGCUAGGUGAUUAUUUCAUUAGUGUUCAUACAUUAGAGUAAUGGUUUAUUGCAUAUUUGGGAACAAGACUGUGUUUUAUCAAUAUAUAUCAUCUUUAAUAGGUCAAAAUUACUAUUUUUUCUACC
rnacentral:sRNA from 1 species